ensembl:lncRNA
CAGCCAAUCAGAGAGCAGCCUCACUGGACCGCAUUCGAGAGUCCAAAUAUGCGUAACUUUCCAUCUUAAUAGCCCAUAUCUAACCUUACAGAGUUAACAUGUUUUAGGUGCCUGUCAUGUUCUCGAAAAUUCCUUGUUUAUAUGAGAAGCAUGAUGUUUGCCUCAUGUGUUUAUGUGUUGAUUACACGUGCCAGUGUUUUAAUUUGCGCUGAUCUUCCGGGAAUCUCGCUCACGGGCGCACUUGCACAGUAGCAAAAGGUGACGACAAAGCGUGUACUCUUAAUCUCAGGAAUAAUUAUCAAUCCUGAGAGAAAAAAAAAUCUAGCAGACUCAGCCCCUUAUUAUCCCCGAGACCGUGUAAAGACGGUGAAAGGGAGAAAAAGCAAACAGUGAACGCAGACGCUUAUGCGCGCUUCUCCUGCAUUGUGUCUCUCAGCCAGAGGAAUUUAAGGAGGUUUAAUUGCCUAAAACAGUCCUCUCGUCCACAUGACUGUCACACUGCAAGUGCUCAUGUUGAUACAUCGAAAUGUAACACCAGAUGACUGGAGAUGGACUGCCACUGGACUAGGGCCAUGCUGGAUAAGCCUGAAAGCAGUAGGCAGGGAUGCACUACAGGGGUAUAUGUGACACUUUUCUAAAGUAAAAAAAGAAGAGCUAUGAGCAUCCGAGGCGAUUUUUUUUCGAAGGCAGACGACCAAACAGUUAGUUUUUAUACUCAUAAGAAGUGAUAAAAAAAACAAAAACAAAACAAGAACAACAACAACCAGAGGAUCUGACUAAAAACACUAUCCAGGAUCAUCCACACACAGUGUGGAGCUCACCCUUCUCCCCAAGUUCAAAGGCACAGGAGCUCAGAGGGCUGGAUUUGUUCAGGCAUAUUUGGUAAACCCCUGGAUUUGAAUUGUAGUGUGCAAGGCCAGAAGAUGAUGUUUAAGAAAUGUUACAUUGUGAGAUUUUGUGUGAAAUCCCCAUAAUAAAUUCACCAAGUAUGCACAAGAAAUGGCUAUUCAUGUUUGUGGUCCAAAGUUUCUUCUUCUUCUUUUUUUUCCUUUCUGAUGUAACCUUAGAGGUAUAGGUGUAUGAAUAAAGUAUAUGUGACUUUUUAAAAGUCCAAAAAAACAAACAAACAACCCCCCCCCCCCCCCCCCAAAAAAAAAAAAAACAGCAUGUAGAAAAUAGAG